UCUUGCACACCUUACCCCUUAUAACGAAUUCCAAUUUCACUCGUAUCAAUUCCAGAAAUUUCAGAAUUGCUACAAACUUUUUUAUAUCUAACCAUUUGUUUAUUGGAUCAUUAGAUAACAAACAUAUGAAUUUAGCCAUCAAUGGAGAGGGAGCUGAUCCAACUGAAAACAAUUCUCGCUUUUUAAAUAUUGAUGAAGUACAAUAUUAGAAGAUGUGCUAAAUCUCAAAUACUUCAACAUGCGCAAGUGGAUGUCUUUUCUCACAAGGGCAAUUUUCCGAUCGUACUGAUCACAUAAAGAAUAUAAUAGUGCCUUAUACUCUACAAGAAAAUGCAAUUUACACAAUCAAAUACUAAUAUCAUUGUUAGAGGGCUAAAGAGCCUACAUAGGAAAAGGAGAAGAAGACUUGCAAAUAGAGAAGUUUUCGUAGAUCCUCAAUAUCUUCAGUCACGACAUUCAUAACUAUCUAUAUGGUUUCAUAACAUCACAAAAUUCAUUCUUCUUGAAUUCAAUGCUGAAUUAUUGAACUCUUCUAUGGUUUUUAGCACGUUUCUUGUUGUUUUCUGCAACAAAAAAAGUAAAAUAAAAUCUGUAUAUCACGUGCUAGCAGCUAAAUUAGCAACUUUAGAAAACUAAUCAUGUAAUACAAUGAUGAAGCUUUACUUUAAUUCUACUGAAAGCUACAGAAACAUGGCAUUUGGGCACCAAAAUAGGAGAGCCCCCAACCUGAACAUACAAAUGCAAUAAAUCUGGCAUCCUCUACCCAAAAUAUAAAUAUCUAUUUAGUAACACCAACAAAGAUUCAAAUAUCAUAUAAAUUUAGAGUAAAUAUAUCACGUUCCUGAAACUGAAAGUAGUUUUCAAUUGUCAACAGUUUCAAAAUUUUCAUCCGAUUAGUGUUUUUUCUAUACAAAGUUAAAGUUCAUAUAUCAUCUCCAAUAUACAAAGUCUCAGAAUUAUUCAAACCAUGCUUCAGGUGCUUUCCAAAUCUUUGCCAUUCUUUUUAAUACAGAGAAUGCAAUUACUGUAUCACACGCUAUUGAUAAGUAUGCAUAUUCAUAAAUAAGGUAGAGAUAACAGAGAAAAAUUGUCAAACAUUAAAAGAUCAGUGCAUUACCUAUGAAUAUACCAUCAUAUCAAACAUAAAUAAUCAGAAUUAGCACAAUCUACAGUACCUUUCAAAACAGAAGUGCAUCCAAAUAUGAUCGAUAAGAUCUGAAAUGAAUAAAGUAAGUAAAUGCGUAAUCAACAAAAGCUAAAACAACAUGACUAUUUCAAAACUGACAUCUUCAAAAUGGUAAAAGAAAUUUGAUGCGCUACCAUCUAAAAGAGAACAAUAGACCCGGGAAUAUCAAUCUAUACCUAAUAGGAAGAACAUAAAGGAAAAAAUGAAAGCCAAUAGAAGAGCAAUACUUGCCGGAGUCUGAAAUGCUGAACACACGUAGGUAUAACUAUCACAACAUAGUGAAACUGAAAUAAAAAAGAUUAAACAUCAGUAAUAUACAGGCGUAGAUAAAGAAGAUGGAGAAAUGUUCAAAACUACAUCAAUAAAUAAAUGAAAAUAGAAGUGCAACAGAAAAAUCAGGGAGAAAAGCAAGCAAAACAUUACUGCAAUAAAGAUACCAUAUCGUGAAUAAAAGUUUGAUAUUGAAUUCACAUACAGCAAAUUGAAUCUUAAGAUAUUUCUGGCAAAAGAUGGAAUACCGGAUGGAGAGAUCUAAAGAGAAUCUCAUUUCCUUGCAAUUUAUUUUGUAUUUUGAGCCUUUCCAAUAACUUAUUUUAUUUAUUUGGGUUCCUUCACCUUAUAAUUAGGGAAGGGGCUGGUUUAGAAGACAUUCUGUAUAGAUAUAGAAAACAACUGAGGAUACUCAAAGACUUGCAAAACGUAGGUGAAAUUAUAUCACAAGCACAAUACACUACUGAAACCACUUCCUAUAUUAGAUCAUUUUACCACUGACUCUAAUUCUUCGAGAAAUUGCAAGAAAAUAAACAUAUCUCUUGAAAUUAAAUUAGAAUUUAAAAGGAAACAAUCACAGUAAUGUAAGUUGAUGUUUCCCAGUAAUUUAGACCACGAAGAGGAAAACUACGAACUUACCCUAGGAGAAAUAUCAAUGUUGGAGUCUCAAUUUGAACCCUUCGACAUCAAACCUGGCAAUUAUCGUACAAUUUUCUCUGUUUAGUUGGUACUUGAGAAUACCUAGAACACAAAACUCGAUUUCAAAUCCAUAAUUUGAAAAAUAAACACAUAUUAUCAAUUUCCAGCAAAAUAUUACAGCUAAUAUACACAAGACCAAAUCAACAAUUAACAAAUAAACGUAAAAGACAAAAAGUUAUGGGAUCCAUGCAAAAGGGAUGUUGGAACUUGCAAAGCAGCAAAGUGAUGCGUGAGGGAUUUUUUUUCAAUUUAAGUGACAAUAUUCGAAAUGGGAUUAUUUAUUUAAUUAAGAAUCUUCACUUGGGAAAGGUUUGGUUUUUGGUGUCCCAAG
rnacentral:lncRNA from 1 species